rnacentral:rRNA from 1 species
UACGGAGGGUGCGAGCGUUGUCCGGAUUUAUUGGGCGUAAAGGGCGCGUAGGCGGUUACGCACGUCCGUUGUGAAAUCGCUCGGCUCAACUGGGCGGGGUCAGCGGAUACGGCGUGGCUGGAGCAAGCUAGGGGGCAAUGGAAUUCCCGGUGUAGUGGUGGAAUGCGUAGAUAUCGGGAGGAACACCAGUGGCGAAGGCGGUUGCCUGGAGCUUUGCUGACGCUGAUGCGCGAAAGCGUGGGGAGCGAUCCGG